rnacentral:rRNA from 1 species
UACGUAGGGGGCAAGCGUUGUCCGGAAUCAUUGGGCGUAAAGCGCGUGUAGGCGGUUCGAUAAGUCUGCUGUGAAAGUCCAGGGCUCAACCCUGGGAUGCCGGUGGAUACUGUCGGACUAGAGUGCGGAAGAGGCGAGUGGGAAUUCCCGGUGUAGCGGUGAAAUGCGUAGAGAUCGGGAGGAACACCCGUGGCGAAGGCGGCCAUCUGGGACCAAGCACUCACGCUGAGGCACGAAAGCGUGGGGAGCAA